rnacentral:rRNA from 1 species
AUGCAGUGUACAACAACAAAACAACAUAUUCUGCUUUCAGGUAAGACUAAGUCAUGGUUAUGUUUGAUAAAAAGGAUAAAAAGAAACUUACAGAGCUUAAUGCCUUCAGGUAUUAUCAUUGGGUCAUCUGGUGGCUUCAGCAUUCUAGCUCUGAGUUUUGGUACAGUAUUUCUCAUUCGUAUAUGGAAAAGAAAUGUUCAACGACAACUACGGAAGAAUUAUUUUCGGAAUAACCAAGGUCUUCUCCUAGAAACAUUGAUAUCAUCUGAUGAAAGUGCAAAUGACAAAACAAAGAUUUUCUCAUUAGAAGAGCUAGAGAAAGCAACAGACAACUUUGAUACGGCCCGCAUCAUUGGCUCUGGGGGGCAUGGCAUGGUUUAUAAAGGCAUGUUAUCUGAUCAACGUGUGGUUGCAAUAAAAAAGUCCAAGGUCAUUAAAAAGGCUGAGAUCACUCAAUUCAUCAAUGAGGUCGCUAUCCUCUCACAAGUAAAUCAUAGAAACAUUGUGAAGCUCUUUGGGUGUUGUCUGGAAACUGAGGUUCCACUGCUCGUGUAUGAAUAUAUAUCUUGUGGCUCACUGUCUCAAGUCUUAAAUGCUGACUCAAGCACUAGUUUUUCUUUGUCCUGGGAUGAUUACUUAAGGAUUGCCACGGAAACAGCAGGAGCACUAUCUUAUCUCCACUCAGCGGCUUCAAUAUCAAUCUUCCAUCGUGAUGUGAAAUCGUCAAACAUACUCCUGGAUGGGAACUACAGAGUUAAAGUUUCAGAUUUUGGUGCUUCUAGAUUGGUUCCAGUUGAUCAAACACACAUUGUUACAAAUGUGCAAGUUACAUUUGGGUACUUAGAUCCAGAGUACUUCCAUACCAGGCAGUUAAAUGAGAAGAGUGACGUGUAUAGUUUUGGUGUGGUACUAGUGGAGUUGCUUCUUAGAAUGAAGCCUAUCAUCAGGAGUGAAUCAGGCACAAUGCAGAACUUGUCACACUACUUUAUAAGGGCAUUGAACGAGGGAGGGAUCGCCGACAUACUGAACUCUGAAGUCCUUGAGGAAGCAACUAAGGAUGAGAUCAUCGAUGUUGCCAGUCUUGCAGAGUUGUGCUUAAGACUGCGUGGUGAAGAAAGACCCACCAUGAAACAAGUUGAGGUUGAGUUGCAGAUAUUACGAACAAGAAGGGCAAACUCAUGUCAAGCGAAUGUAAUAAAUGAAGAACAAACACAACCAAUGUUGUUAACUCGAGGAGUUAAAGUUGCUUUCCAGUCGUCAGCCACGUUAGUGGAUUGCAGAUACAACUUAGAGUCAAGAGACAGCCAAGGUUGCUACGACCUGCAGGAAGAGUUCAUGGCAUCAGCUAGUCUAGCACGCUAG